ACUUAAGUAGUUUAGUUUAAAAUAUCGAUUUGUGGUGUCGGAGUUGUAGUUAAUUUAUUACCUUGGGUU
rnacentral:tRNA from 2 species